rnacentral:lncRNA from 1 species
ACAACAUCCACAGAUUGCACUAACCAUCUGAACUGCUGCAGAGGAAGAAGCAGGCUUUCUUACUGCACUGUCCUCUCCAAAGGCAUAAAUUUAUAGGAAAAAAAGCUGAAUGUGAGUAGCUGCAGGAAGAGGAGAACCCGUUUCCUCCCCCAGGCAGUGGAAAAGUGAAUUUACUCCAUAUUCUGCAGAAUGCCAUGGAAGAUCAGGCUCCACAUCACCAUACGACUACCCACCACCAGUGUCAUCAGCAUCAGACCAGGGAGUUAUUUACACAGUUUGCAUGUCUUUCUGGAAAUGAAAGAAUUGAUUUUUGCCUUGCCACGCAGACUCCAUGUCAGUGUAAAUCCACUGAAGACAAUUGCCAUUGUCAAACACAUCCUGGUCUUGUCUCAGUUGUGUCCCAGUGCUGAACUCCAAUUCAAGACUCACAAGCAGAUCCACGUCCCUAACGGGAGCAACGGAUGUUGGUGUGUGCAAGGCUCCAUCAGCCUUGCUGAGCACACAGUGAGGACCAGGUUUAAGUCUUUUUGAAGAAUAAGAAGAACCUGUCGAAUAAAUCCUUUUCUGUAUUUGUGGAUGGGUGAGAU